UUCUAGAUACGAGACAUUGCAUAGCUUCGAGCUGACCAGAUGAACGAUUACGCUAAUCAGGGACUGGACCUUCAACUCCAAUGUUGAUACAUUGGCAAUGAUUAUUGGUUAAUUAUUUGUGGUAAUUGUUACGACGAAGAUAAUCGCUCUAUGAUAGAUUUGGGGAGCGAAGAAGGUGGGAUCAUAUGAGAAGAAGGAAUGGUAACUGAGGAGGAAGAACACCAAGGUCCCUUGCACAGACUCACUGAUGGUCAUAGCUACAGUCAGUGAGAUACAAAAUUUCGGCCCGUUCCUUUUGUAACAGCACUUUAACAUAUAUUAUGUGCAUACAGUACUGUUUCUCUUAAUAAAAUAUGCUGUGUGCUUCCCUAUGAUCCUCCCAUUUUCCGCUCUUUGUUCCAGUGCUCAGGCUACAAGGAAAAAAGGAAUGAUUUUGUCAGUAUUUUUCUUUUCUUUUUUUUAACUCAAAUUUUACCAAAAUAUCGGGUACGUUUAUUGUGUAUUUAUAAGUAUAAACUAAUGAAAUAACUUCUUAUUGUAGAGUGCCCUAUGGAAUGUAUUAAUGUAAUGAAGUACCUUAAGAGUGCAAUAUCUUAUUGAUUAUUGAUAGG
rnacentral:lncRNA from 1 species